CUAAGAUGUUUUCUGUGCUUUGUGUUUCAGCAUGAUGAGAAACCCUACUGCACUAACUGUUACAUGAAGAUGUUUGGUACCAGAGCAGGUAACAGGAGACUGAUGUCAAACUGUCACAGCUCAGCCUCCUCUUCCUCUUCCUCCUCCUAGGAACCAGUCUACCAAAAACCACCAAAAUACAACCUAAUGAGAACUAACAGCCUAUCAACAAGGAUCUAUGUUCAACAAACCUGACAUUCAGCCAUCAAGACAAUGACCAACCAACUAGACCCAACAUUCAGCCAACCAACAUUUGACCAACCAAGAAAUAUUCUGAAAGUCUCCCUCUUUCAGUCAGUCAUAAAACAACUACCUUGACCACAACAUUGUGUUCAAUGGAGAAACGGUUGUUCUUCAAUAAAACAGAAGCUUCUACAGUC